rnacentral:tRNA from 5 species
CUGCCCAUAGCUCAGUUGGAUAGAGCACAAGCCUUCUAAGCUUGGGGUCGCUGGUUCGAACCCAGCUGGGCAGGCCA